CCGUACCACUCAUUCAAAAUAAACUGUUUUAUCUGAUACAAAUACUAUUGUUGCUAUUUGUCUACAACUAUCUCAGGAUUAUUUUAUUCAAAAGAAAAAUUUGUUGCAAACAGAUAGAAUAUCUAAUAAUUUUGGUGUUUGCGCAGGUUGUGUCUCCUUGGGUUGCUUGUUUAUGAAUUCUUCCAGUGGACCUCACUCCUCUCAUCCUGGGAAGGCAUCUUAUUUACGGUGCUUUUCCUGCUCCUGGUCACAGUUAUUAUUGAAAUCCUCAUUCAUUCGUCUCAAUCAGAGAGUUUAAAACCCCUUAUGGUUUUACCAACACAAGACCCCAUGAAGCAGAAGCUUCUUCAGACAUGAGCUAGGAAAUAGGAAUGGAUUCAGCGCACGUAUGUUAGUGUUUAUCGCAUGUUUCUAUCCUCUGUUUUUAAAAUACAGGAUUUCAUUUGUCAAGUGGAAUAAUGUCACAUCUAUUCCCCGGUCCAUAUCUUAGGCUAUUAUUUUUUUGGGAUAAGAAACGUAGG
rnacentral:lncRNA from 1 species